AGCUCCAAUAGUGUAUACUAAUGUUGCUGCAGUUAAAAAGCUCGUAGUCGAACUUCUGACCUGUCAAACUCGCACAGCUGUUCAAAGAAUAGCUUGUCGCGAAUCGUUUGUGGGCCAUCUUUCUGGAGAGUGCUUCUGCCCUUGAUUGGGUUGGCUGUACAAUUCAGAGCAUUUACUGUGAGCAAAUGGGAGUGUUCAAAGCAAGCUUUUUUAAUGCCUGAACCGUUUAGCAUGGAAUAAUAAAAUAUAACUCUGGUCGUAUUUUGUUGGCUUAUACAAUUAGAGUAAUGAUAGAAAGGGAUAGUUGGGGGUGCUCAUAUUCAUGGGGUAGCGGUGAAAUGCAUUGAUCCUCUGAAGAUGAACUAAUGCGAAAGCAUUCACCAAGGAUAUCUUCU
rnacentral:rRNA from 1 species